ACCCUGGGGUUGGGGUUGGGACAAAUCCCGAGCUCCGGCUCAGCUUUGAGCCCCGGCUCGGGUUUGGGGGAGCCCCUGGGCUCCAGCCCUGUCCCAGCCUCGCUCUGGAAAACCGGGAGAAUCCUGCCGGGAACGGCGGCCCGGCCCCGCUGCUCACCGGCGCCGGACAUCCACGCGGCUGCGGCGGGCGGCGAUCCGCUGCUGGCGCUCCCAUUCCGAACCGGGCUCAGAAACGGGACGGGGCUCAGAACCGGCACCGGGCUCAGAACCGGGACCGGGCUCAAAACCGAGACCGAGAUCAGAAACAGCACCGGGAUCAGAACCGGGCUCAACACGGGAGCCGCGACCAGCACCGAGACCGAGAUCAGAACCGGCACGGGACUCAGCACCGGCACCGGGACCGGGCUCAGCACCGGCAUCGGCACCGGGACCGGGCUCAGCACCGGGAUCGGCACCGGGCUCUGGCUCGGAGCACCGGGAUCGGCACCGGGACCGGGCUCAGCACCGGGACCGGCCUCAGCACCGGGAUCGGCACCGGGCUCUGGCUCGGGCUGGGAUUUGGGAUCGAGUUUAGGCUCGGGCUCGAGCUCGGCGGGCUCCGGGUUCGGUGCCGGUGCCGCCCCCUCCUGCUCCUGCUCCAUGGCCACACCUGAGCGCAGGUGCGCGCCCGUUACUGCGCAUGCGCGGGAAGGGGAGCGUCCCUCGUUGCCAGGCAACACGUGGGCGCGACAUCACCGUAGCGAUGCUGAGCAUGCGCAACACGGGAGCUGCCCUCGUUGCCAAGCAACCAGUGGGUCUGGCAUCACCUGUUCGCUGCUGCGCAUGCGCAGUUGUGGGAUCAUCGCUCGUUGCCACGCAACGCUUGAGGAAACCAUCGGCCCUCCUUUGCGCAUGCGCAAUGGCUCUUCUUGUUGCUUAGCAACGGUCUGUGCAGCCGGAAGAUGGCAGCAGGCACCCGCGGCAUUCCCGGGAGCGGGAGCAGCUCCCUCCCAAGGGGGGGGGGGGGGGGGGGGGGGGGGGCAGCUCCCUCCCAACCCUCUGGAAGCGGCUCCAACUUCUCCCUCUCCCAAAUCCCGGCCGGAUCCUCGGGAGCGGAGCUCGUUCCCUCCUCCAACCUUUCCCCUGGAAAAAGUGAGUGAAUCCCAUUUUUUAAUAUUUUAUUUUAUUUUAUUUUAUUUUAUUUUAUUUUAUUUUAUUUUAUUUUAUUUUAUUUU
rnacentral:lncRNA from 1 species